GAGUUUGAUUAUGGCUCAGGAUGAACGCUAGCUACAGGCUUAACACAUGCAAGUCGAGGGGCAGCAUGAAUAUUGGCUUGCCAAUAUUUGAUGGCGACCGGCGCACGGGUGAGUAACACGUAUCCAACCUUCCGGUUACUCGGGGAUAGGCUUUCGAAAGAAAGAUUAAUACCCGAUGUUGUGUAUCUUUCUCCUGAUUGAUACGCCAAAGGAUUCCGGUAACCGAUGGGGAUGCGUUCCAUUAGGCAGUUGGCGGGGUAACGGCCCACCAAACCUUCGAUGGAUAGGGGUUCUGAGAGGAAGGUCCCCCACAUUGGAACUGAGACACGGUCCAAACUCCUACGGGAGGCAGCAGUGAGGAAUAUUGGUCAAUGGACGGAAGUCUGAACCAGCCAAGUAGCGUGAAGGAUGACUGCCCUCUGGGUUGUAAACUUCUUUUAUACGGGAAUAACAUGAGGUACGGGUACCUU
rnacentral:rRNA from 1 species